rnacentral:rRNA from 1 species
AACGAACGCUGGCGGCAUGCCUAACACAUGCAAGUCGAACGAAACCUUCGGGUCUAGUGGCGCACGGGUGCGUAACGCGUGGGAACCUGCCCUUAGGUUCGGAAUAACUCUCAGAAAGGGGUGCUAAUACCGGAUAAUGUCUUCGGCCCAAAGAUUUAUUGCCUUUGUAGGGGCACGCGUUGGAUUCGCUCGUUAGUAGGGUAAAAGCCUACCAAGGCGACGAUCCAUAGCUGGUCUGAGAGGAUGAUCAGCCACACUGGGACUGAGACACGGCCCAGACUCUUCCGGGAGGCAGCAGUGGGGAACAGUGGACAAUGGGGGAAGGCCUGAACCAGCACGGCCGCGUGAGUGAUGAAGUCCGUAGGGUAGUAAAGCUCUUUUACCCGGGAUGAUAAUGACAGUACCGAGAGAAUAAGCUCCGGCUAACUCCGUG